rnacentral:rRNA from 1 species
AUUGAACGCUGGCGGCAGGCUUAACACAUGCAAGUCGAACGGUAACAGGAAGAAAGCUUGCUUUCUUUGCUGACGAGUGGCGGACGGGUGAGUAAUGCUUGGGAAUCUGGCUUAUGGAGGGGGAUAACUACUGGAAACGGUAGCUAAUACCGCGUAAUGUCUACGGACUAAAAGGGGCGAAAGCUCUUGCCAUAAGAUGAGCCCAAGUGGGAUUAGGUAGUUGGUGAGGUAACGGCUCACCAAGCCGUCGAUCUCUAGCUGGUCUGAGAGGAUGACCAGCCACACUGGAACUGAGACACGGUCCAG